rnacentral:rRNA from 1 species
CCUACGGGGGGCAGCAGUGAGGAAUAUUGGUCAAUGGGCGGAAGCCUGAACCAGCCAAGUCGCGUGAGGGAAUAAGGCCCUACGGGUCGUAAACCUCUUUUGCCGGGGAGCAAGGGCCGGGACGCGUCCCGGCCCGGAGAGUACCCGGAGAAAAAGCAUCGGCUAACUCCGUGCCAGCAGCCGCGGUAAUACGGAGAAUGCGAGCGUUAUCCGGAUUUAUUGGGUUUAAAGGGUGCGUAGGCGGGCUUUUAAGUCAGCGGUAAAAAUUCGGGGCUCAACCCCGUCUGGCCGUUGAAACUGGGGGC